rnacentral:rRNA from 1 species
UACGGAGGGGGGCUAGCGUUGUUCGGAAUUACUGGGCGUAAAGCGCACGUAGGCGGCUUUGUAAGUUAGAGGUGAAAGCCCAGGGCUUAACCCUGGAAUUGCCUUUAAGACUGCAUCGCUAGAAUCGUGGAGAGGUAAGUGGAAUUCCGAGUGUAGAGGUGAAAUUCGUAGAUAUUCGGAAGAACACCAGUGGCGAAGGCGACUUACUGGACACGUAUUGACGCUGAGGUGCGAAAGCGUGGGGAGCAAACAGG